CAGUCGCCACGGUAAUACGUAGGUGGCAAGCGUUGUCCGGAAUUAUUGGGCGUAAAGGGCUCGCAGGCGGUUUCUUAAGUCUGAUGUGAAAGCCCCCGGCUCAACCGGGGAGGGUCAUUGGAAACUGGGAAGCUUGAGUGCAGAAGAGGAGAGUGGAAUUCCACGUGUAGCGGUGAAAUGCGUAGAGAUGUGGAGGAACACCAGUGGAGAAGGCGACUCUCUGGUCUGUAACUGACGCUGAGGAGCGAAAGCGUAGGGAGCGAACAGGAUUAGAUACCCGAGUAGUCCCUGUCUCUUAUAA
rnacentral:rRNA from 1 species